rnacentral:pre_miRNA from 1 species
AAUAAACACUUUUCAGUUUUUGGAUACAAUAUUUAACUAUUCAUCUUAUUUACAAAAUUUUUAUGAUUAAUAUUUUUAUUGUUACUAAAUGAUAAAACAUGAAUAAUACUUUAGGCAUGAAUAAUUUUUGAAGUUUUUCUACAAUUUUUUUAAAUAAGAUGAAUGGUCAAACAUUAAACACACAAAUCUUAAA